CCGAGAGCACCGUCGCCUGUAAGUUUCAGUUUUUUGUAUUUUUUGGCCCACUGAGGGCCCUAGGGUUGUUUUAUCGCAAGGACCAAUGCAAGUGUGGCCGAAUUCGACCGAAAAUGGCCGAAAAUGGCCAACCCAAGGCGAAUCGCCGCCGCAAGUGGCAGCGCCAUCGCCGGAGCACGGCGGAGCCGUCGUGCCGGAAUUUUGAUAUUGGCCGAAAGGGGCCCUAGGUCUGAUUUGGGAUUUUUUGGGACAUGUGCAGGUACCGGUAGUGCGUUUCAGUUUUCCAGAAAAAAUUCAGGAAAAUUAGGGACAGCCUGUAGGC
rnacentral:lncRNA from 1 species